rnacentral:tRNA from 1 species
GAGGAUGUAACUCAGUGGCACAGUGCCUGCCUGGCAAGCACAAAGUUGUGAGUUUGAUUCCCAAUAGUCCUCU